rnacentral:rRNA from 1 species
AUACGGAGGGUCCGAGCGUUAUCCGGAAUCAUUGGGUUUAAAGGGUCCGUCGGCGGGAAUCUAAGUCAGUGGUGAAAUCUUGCAGCUCAACUGUAAAAUUGCCAUUGAUACUGGAUUUCUUGAAUUAGUGUGAAGUGGUUAGAAUGUGUAGUGUAGCGGUGAAAUGCAUAGAUAUUACACAGAAUACCAAUUGCGAAGGCAGAUCACUAACACUAUAUUGACGCUGAGGGACGAAAGCGUGGGGAGCGAACAGGAUUAGAUACCCUAGUAGUCC